GUCGAGAAUCUUUCACAAUGGGGGCAACCCUGAUGGAGCGACGCCGCGUGGAGGAUAAGGUCUUCGGAUUGUAAACUCCUGUCAUGCGUGAACAAGGUUGCUUGGUUAAUACCUGGGCAAAUUGAUGGUAACGCAAGAGGAAGAGACGGCUAACUCUGUGCCAGCAGCCGCGGUAAUACGAAGGUCCCAAGCGUUGUUCGGAAUCACUGGGCGUAAAGGGUGCGUAGGCGGCGUGGUAAGUCAGAUGUGAAAUCCCGGGGCUCAACCUAGGAACUGCAUCCGAUACUGCCAUGCUUGAGGGCUGGAGAGGUAACUGGAAUUCUCGGUGUAGCAGUGAAAUGCGUAGAUAUCGAGAGGAAUACCAAAGGCGUAGGCAGGUCACUGGACAGUUACUGACACUGAGGCACGAAGGCCAGGGGAGCGAACGGGAUUAGAAACCCGGGUAGUCC
rnacentral:rRNA from 1 species